CACGUAGGGUGCGAGCGUUGUCCGGAAUUAUUGGGCGUAAAGAGCUCGUAGGCGGUGUGUCGCGUCGGCCGUGAAAACCCGCAGCUCAACUGUGGGCUUGCAGCCGAUACGGGCGGGCUGGGAUUCGGUAGGGGAGACUGGAAUUCCUGGUGUAGCGGUGAAAUGCGCAGAUAUCAGGAGGAACACCGGUGGCGAAGGCGGGUCUCUGGGCCGAUAUCGACGCUGAGGAGCGAAAGCGUGGGGAGCGAACAGG
rnacentral:rRNA from 1 species